AGGCUUUCCUUCCUCUCAAGACAGGAGCAAAAUUGAUGUUGAUGAAGAAAGAUCUUGGACACACCUUGCAGAGAAUCCAUGUGAACGUAAUGUUACUUUCGGAGAUGAGAAUGUCCUUUGGUCAGAGACAGUGGGAUGAUCUUAGGAAGGAGUGGAUUGAGUUCCCAAGGAUUCAUUGUUCAUCCAAAAACUAUAGAUGAAGAUUUCAAAGGAGAAAUUAAAAUUACGGCCUACAUAAAAAGAGGAAUCAUGUGAUUUGUGUAUUUCUAUUCAAGCUUUAUGGAUGAGGAAGCCAGUCUGCUAUCAAAUAAAUGAAAACUUGCAAACUGAUCAGCACUGGGUCCUUGGUAAACAUACACUCAGCCCACACACACAUUUACAGGGAAGAUCUCUGCUUUAGCCAUACUCUUCAGCCAGCACCAGGUUCAUAAACUAAAAACCAUAACGUCAUUACCCACAGGUGUGUGAUUUCCUUAUCCAUUAUAUGGACAUAACAUGGGUCAUAGUC